AUUGAACGCUGGCGGCAUGCUUUACACAUGCAAGUCGAACGGUAACAGGGAGCUUGCUCCGCUGACGAGUGGCGAACGGGUGAGUAAUGCGUCGGAACGUGCCGAGUAGUGGGGGAUAACGCAUCGAAAGGUGUGCUAAUACCGCAUACGUACUGAGGUAGAAAGUGGGGGACCUUCGGGCCUCACGCUAUUGGAGCGGCCGACGGCUGAUUAGCUAGUUGGUGAGGUAAAGGCUCACCAAGGCGACGAUCAGUAGCGGGUCUGAGAGGAUGAUCCGCCACACUGGGACUGAGACACGGCCCAGACUCCUACGGGAGGCAGCAGUGGGGAAUUUUGGACAAUGGGCGCAAGCCUGAUCCAGCCAUGCCGCGUGUCUGAAGAAGGCCUUCGGGUUGUAAAGGACUUUUGUCCGGGAGCAAAUGCUGGUGGCUAACAUCCACCGGAGCUGAGAGUACCGGAAGAAUAAGCACCGGCUAACUACGUGCCAGCCGCCGCCGUAAUAC
rnacentral:rRNA from 1 species